UACAGAGGGUGCAAGCGUUAAUCGGAAUUACUGGGCGUAAAGCGUGCGUAGACGGUUAUGUAAGUCAGAUGUGAAAGCCCCGGGCUCAACCUGGGAAUUGCAUUCGAGACUGAAUAGCUAGGGUGCGGUAGAGGGAAGCGGAAUUUCCGGUGUAGCGGUGAAAUGCGUAGAUAUCGGAAGGAACAUCAGUGGCGAAAGCGGCUUCCUGGACCAGCACCGACGUUCAGGCACGAAAGCGUGGGGAGCAAACAGG
rnacentral:rRNA from 1 species